GAGGCAGGCUGGGCAAUCGCGACGCCGUUGGCGCCGAGGAAGGUCCGGACUCCACAGGGCAGGGUAGCGGCUAACGGCCGUCCGGCGAGGCAUGCGGCAACGCGCCAAGCCGAGGAACAGGGCCACAGAGACGAGUCUGCCGCGAGGGCGUGCCAUGGGCGCGCACCGACACGGCCAUCUCCGUGUCGCAUGGGUGGUGACAUCCAUGGCGCGGCAGGGUGAAACGCGGCAACCUCUAUCCGGAGCAACACCAAAUAGGCAUGCGCACGGCUCAGGCCGGAAAGGGCGGCCCGUCCAAGCAUGCGGGUAGGUGGCUGGAAUCGAGCAGCAAUGUUCGAUCAAGAGGAAUGAUUGCCCGCCUGGCUUGCCAGGCGUACAGAAUCCGGCCUAUAGGCCUGUCUCCCAU
rnacentral:RNase_P_RNA from 1 species